ACAGAUAUCGCAGUAAUUUUCACAUUUCUGACCUAGCUGCUGGUCUGGCCUGGAGCUUGUCACCUGCCACAUUUAUCGGGCCGUGAUCCUCAUUGCCUCCAGGAUGAUUGAUGCUUCAAGGUUUUCCUGUGGUGUAAAUAACAAUCAAGAAGCCGGAAUAUUUUACUCCCACAGCGACAAAUCAUUUCAUUGAUAUGUCAUUGGAAGGUUUCCUUUCUAUGCAAUGGUUUGUAUUAGUUGGGCUUCGAAACUGUGCUCCCUGAAAGAAACAACAAGCCUCUUACAUCUUUCUGCUGUCACUUGCUUCUCCGGCGGCUGGCUUAUAAUUUUGUCAUUGUGAGCCUUGUUCUCUGUGAUUUCUUGUAGCACAUGAUGAACAUGUUUGCUGUCCCUUCCUAGUGAGUCAGAGGGAAGGGUGACUCUCAACUUGAAAUUUUUUCUCAAUGAGAAGUGACGGAGUUCCUGUAG